GUGAUGACUUUUUAGUGGGUCCUCUGAAUUGGUGAAGAUGGUCUGGAGCUCUGA
rnacentral:snoRNA from 2 species